rnacentral:tRNA from 1 species
GCGGGUGUAGCUCAAUGGUAGAGCCCCAGCCUUCCAAGCUGUUGAUGGGGGUUCGAUUCCCCUCACCCGCU